rnacentral:rRNA from 1 species
UACGUAGGGUGCGAGCGUUGUCCGGAAUUAUUGGGCGUAAAGGGCUCGUAGGCGGUUUGUCGCGUCGGGAGUGAAAACGCCGUGCUUAACACGGCGCUUGCUUUCGAUACGGGCAGACUAGAGGUAUGCAGGGGAGAACGGAAUUCCAGGUGUAGCGGUGAAAUGCGUAGAUAUCUGGAGGAACACCGGUGGCGAAGGCGGCAUCCUGGACCGGCAUUGACGCUGAGGAGCGAAAGCCAGGGGAGCAAACAGG